GGCAACCGUCUCAACUCCACUAAAAAUACCAUUUCCACUAAAAUAUAUUUAUAUUUACAUUAUUUUAUUUCAUCUCAUGAAACCCCCACCAAUUUGUGCUGUCCAUUUCAACAACUCCAUUCUCAAACCUCCCAACAACAACAACCUCAAUUUUCGAUCCAAUUUCAUGUUUUUUCCAAUCCUAAAUCGAAGUUGA